AAUCCGAAACAGAACAGUAGUCUUGUCGAGGAACUGCACAUCAAUCUUGCUUCCCAUUUUUGGGGAGGACCACAAUCGAUUCACGGUGGCAUGAAUUGAUCCGACAUGAGGGGCAUCCCCAAUGAAGUACCCAACCACAUAACAUCUCCAGAGCGGAUUUGGAUCCGUGAGAAUCUCUUCCGGUAGUGUGAUUGAAACCACACCAUCAAUAGGUUCCGACGGAGGUGCCGGCUCCGCAAGAGGAGACUUUCGCCAGGGAGAGCCAGUCUCGGGAGGAGAACCAGUCACCAAUCUCGGAGGAGCAUCGUUGAGAACCACCGUCAGAGGGAGUGAAGAUUCGUGAGGAGAGUCGCCGCCGUCGCCAUCGCCUAGGG
rnacentral:lncRNA from 1 species